rnacentral:rRNA from 1 species
GACGAACGCUGGCGGCGUGCUUAACACAUGCAAGUCGAACGAAGAGCGAUGGAAGCUUGCUUCUAUCAAUCUUAGUGGCGAACGGGUGAGUAACGCGUAAUCAACCUGCACUUCAGAGGGGGACAACAGUUGGAAACGACUGCUAAUACCGCAUACGAUCUAAUCUCGGCAUCGAGGAUAGAUGAAAGGUGGCCUCUACAUGUAAGCUAUCACUGAAGGAGGGGAAUGCGUCUGAUUAGCUAGUUGGAGGGGUAACGGCCCACCCAGGCGAUGAUCGGUAGCCGGUCUGAGAGGAUGAACGGCCACAUUGGGACUGAGACACGGCCCAGACUCCUACGGGAGGCAGCAGUGGGGAAUCUUCCGCAAUUGACGAAAGUCUGACGGGGCAACGCCGCGUGAGUGAUGACGGCCUUCGGGUUGUAAAGCUCUGUUAAUCGGGACGAAAGGACUUCUUGCGAAUAGAGAGAAGGAUUGACGGUACCGGAAUAGAAAGCCACGGCUAACUACGUG